rnacentral:rRNA from 1 species
UACGAAGGUGGCAAGCGUUGUUCGGAUUUACUGGGCGUACAGGGAGCGUAGGCGGUUGGAUAAGCCCUCCGUGAAAUCUCCAGGCUUAACCUGGAAAGUGCAGAGGGGACUGUUCAGCUAGAGGAUGGGAGAGGAGCGCGGAAUUCCCAGUGUAGAGGUGAAAUUCGUAGAUAUUGGGAAGAACACCGGUGGCGAAGGCGGCUCUCUGGACCGAGACUGACGCUGAGGCGCGAAAGCGUGGGGAGCAAACAGG